rfam:Loxodonta africana cont3.83240, whole genome shotgun sequence.
CCGAGGUGCAUUGCUGUUGCAUUGCACGUGUGUGGCGGGUGCAGUGCCUCAGCAGUGCAGCCCGG